rnacentral:rRNA from 1 species
UACGUAGGGCGCAAGCGUUGUCCGGAAUUAUUGGGCGUAAAGAGCUCGUAGGCGGCUUGUCACGUCGGAUGUGAAAGCCCGGGGCUUAACUCCGGGUCUGCAUUCGAUACGGGCUGGCUUGAGUGUGGUAGGGGAGAUCGGAAUUCCUGGUGUAGCGGUGAAAUGCGCAGAUAUCAGGAGGAACACCGGUGGCGAAGGCGGGUCUCUGGGCCAUUACUGACGCUGAGGAGCGAAAGCGUGGGGAGCGAACAGG